rnacentral:rRNA from 1 species
UGUUCUUUUGUUUAUAUAAAAGAUCUGACCUGCCCAAUGAUUAUUAUUUAAUGGCUGCAGUAUUUUGACUGUACAAAGGUAGCAUAAUCAUUUGUCUUUUAAUUGAAGUCUAGGAUGAAUGGUUUGAUGAAAAAUAUGUUUUCUUUAUUUUAAAAGGAAAAUUUAAUUUUUUAGUUAAAAAGCUAAAAUUUUAUUAUGGGACGAGAAGACCCUAUAGAACUUUAUUUUUGAAUUUAUAAAUUUAAUAUAGAAUAUUAUAUGAUAUAUAAUGAUUAAAUUUUGUUGGGGUGACAGAAAAAAUAUAAUAACUUUUUCUAUAUUUUUCAUUAUUGUUGAAUUUUUGAUCCUUUCUUAUGGAUAUAAGAUUAAGUUACCUUAGGGAUAACAGCGUUAUUAUUUUAGAGAGUUCAUAUCGAUAAAGUAGUUUGCGACCUCGAUGUUGGAUUAUAAUAAGAUAUAGGAGUAGAAUAUUAUUAUCUAGGUCUGUUCGACCUUUAAAUUUUUACA